GGAGAUAGCUCGUUGGUAGAGUGCAUACUUAGCAUGCAUGAGGUCCUGAGUUCAAUGCCCAGUACCUCCA
rnacentral:tRNA from 1 species